rnacentral:rRNA from 1 species
UACGUAGGGUGCAAGCGUUGUCCGGAAUUAUUGGGCGUAAAGAGCUCGUAGGCGGUUCGUCGCGUCGGCUGUGAAAUCCCGAGGCUCAACCUCGGGUCUGCAGUCGAUACGGGCGGACUGGAGUACUGCAGGGGAGACUGGAAUUCCUGGUGUAGCGGUGAAAUGCGCAGAUAUCAGGAGGAACACCGGUGGCGAAGGCGGGUCGCUGGGCAGGUACUGACGCUGAGGAGCGAAAGCGUGGGGAGCGAACAGG